AGAAAUUUAGGUUACACUAAACCAAGGACCUUCAAAGCCCUAAACAGGGAAACCACCCCUAAUUUCUG
rnacentral:tRNA from 1 species